UGGAGAUCCUUGCAUACCUGAGGUCUUCUGAAGCCUGCAGCAAGAAUAGCUGGUGGACUGAGUCACUGCAGAUUUUUCCAGUCUUGAAGACUGUCCUAACCAAAUACCUCAAUUUCCAAGCUGCUUGGUGCUGGCCAUCAUGACAGUGUGAGGAAGACGAGUCCUCCCAGUUGCAGCCAGUCGCAUCCUCCAGGACAGGGCAACAUCACUGCCUUCACUGAGAGCCUGAUCCAAAAGCCACUGACGCCAUCAGACCAUCUCCCGCUGACUUUGGCUGCAAGUAGGAAACCCACAUGCCACGGGCUCUGCUUUCUUCCCUGUUCCUGUGGCUCUGCAGAACAGAACCAAUACAGGAAUCCCAGGCUCUGACCUUGGCUGCACCAACCCUGCUUCAGCUGCACAUAGACAAGAAGCAGCUAAGAGCAGUGUAAGUGAAAAAAUUAAUAUCUUUUUCUCCUUGCAAGUGAAAAAAAUAAAGCAGCAGACACUACAGAUGUACAUUUUCUGGGGUUUGAACUGUCCUAAGAAUACGGAACAAUUAGGCCAUAGAAGAGGCAGCUGGUAAAAAGCAUAGGACAAAACUGAGGACGGGAGCAAUGAAUUGUAUGGCUGUCCCCCAUUCGACCAGCUCUGCCCUUCCUCCAGAGUCAUCUCAGGGCUGUGCUCAAUGUUUUGAAUCUCUUAUUGACCACAGUAGGAACAAGAGGUAAGAUGCUAUUUAUUUUUCUGCCAGGUAUUUAACGUCCUCCACUCAUCCAGCACCUUUGUAUUGCCUUCAAGAGCACCUGUAGUCUCAGCCUUUUUGGAAAUCAGGCCCCACAUUCUGAAAUCACAACAGAUCACAACAGGGUCAGAACAUCCAGACUAUAUAAAAUGAGGGUGACAAAGCUAAUGCUCUUAGCAGCUUCCUGUUUUGUUUAUGGUACAACAAGGCAGCAACUACUUGAGGCUUCAGCAACUUCUGAAAUCUUACAUGCCUAUGCUCUAGGCAUCCCAGUAGGGAUGCCCUCCUGACCCACACAGCACCAUUAACAAUUCUGUAGAGCUAAAGCCUGAUCUCCUUACACUCACUCUGGCUAUUUUGCUAGGAACAUACUGCCCUUCCUUUCUGCAGUUACAGCUCACUGCAGUGCCAAGGUUUUAUACCUGCACAUCACAGCAACAAAGUGCAAGACCCUUGCAGCCAGCAUGGCCAGCAAGGAGUUGAGGAGUAUUUUUGGGAAAGUGUAUUUGUUCAAUUAGUUUGCGCAUAAGAUGAUGGGGCCAAAUGUCUUCCUGAGAGCACGGAGAAGAGGUUAGGGCCUGAACCAUAGCACUCUGGAAAGAAGGGUUCUUUGUCUGGGGCGCAGAAGGAUCAUGCUAACCGGGGAACAUAAGGAAGGCAAGGCUCCAAAACACGGUGACAGCCAGGUUUUGUUUUAGCCCAAGCAGGCCUGUUUUUGUGUGUGCUUAAAAACUUUUUUGUUUGGAAACGAUUUUACCCCAAAGCUUUGUGAUUACAAAAACAUCUGAGAAAGCUCUACUUGUGAGCAGCUGUGCUGUUACACUGCCUGGCAAAGACCUGGCAGCCUGCACCAGGGUUUAGAAAUCUUUGUAAGUGGUGUUCAAGGGAAGGAUUCCUGCCCUGCUUCAAGCUUCCUCUUUUAAUACUACUUUCUGUGCCUUUUCUUGGCCAUGGACAAAAGCCGCUGGUCUCCCAAAACUGGGACUGUGACUAAGUGUUGGUGUCAGCUAGUGAGUGUGCAGCAGGGCAGAGUGAGGGCCCUGGGGAAUUGCUGGCCAUUACUGAGAAGCUGAGGUCUCCCUCCAGCAUGCCCUAUUAAAUGCUGACCAAUGGCUGCGGCCACCUAUUACAGACCUAGUGGACAGCAUGGGGAGGGGAAUGCGUGGGGAGAUGCUUCUAAGGCAGCAGCACAGCUGCCAGCGCACCCAGUUUCCUUUCUACAAGAACAUUUUUCUCCUUUUUAGCAUAAUAUCCACAGAUACUAAGGAAAAAUCAGGCUGCUCGGUCUCUGAGGCUGGCGCCCGGGAUGCUGCCACACUGAGCCUCAUUCUUUCCUUGUGGUCCAUUGCUUGUCUGCCUCCCUCUGUAGCUCGUGUCCUCCACCAUGGGCACUGGGGAGAGGAGGCUUGCCUGUAGUGGGAUGGAAGCUUGCUAUACAGCUGUGGAAAAAAGAAGCCAGGGGAGCUGUUCUCAGUUCUACUUGUGCUCUGUGGUUCUGUAGACUAGUGUGAGACAAGGAAAAAAUUAAUUUACUUUGUCUUUAUUUUUAUUCAUCUGAGUACUCAGAUAUCAGAGUACAGCUUUAGGUAGGGUCUGAUCUCCAGCAAUUUUAGGUAGAGAGUCAGUGACACCAACCCUAAAGCCAAAGGGCAGGAAGCAGGGCAGCCCAUCUGCCCUCCUACCUGCUGAGCCAGCUGAGACUGAGUCAUGACAUAAACAACUGCCUGGUGUGCCAGGAAAAGCUGUCAUGACUGAACCUAAUGUGAUAGUGACCAUUGUGAGCCAUGAAUACAGUGUAUGCAAUUUACUGUAAGUGAGUUCAGAGCACAGUGCAGCCAGCCAGUUCCUGCUGAAUCACUGGCUGCAUGUCAUGCAACAAAAGAGGCUCACACUGGUCAGUGGCCGUGACGACAGUGAGCACAUCUCUCUGACUGCCCUGUGUCUUCUCAUCAGUCUUCUGCAAGCAGGGAUGACCUCUUGGCUAUGCUGACCCCACUUUCCAGGGCCAGCUGGAAAUCACUAAUCUGACAAGCCUGGAGAACCAAAAAGCUGCAGUCUGACAUUUACCAAUACUAGCUCUUUGCUGAGCUUCUCUGCUUGAUCCUACCAAUCUGUCAAGAGGCGAGUGACAGAAACCUGUGUCUUCUCAGCCAUUUCAGUGUAAAGCUUCAGCUGCUGGUAGGGGUGGCUGGACUGUGAACUGCUUGUGAUCUGCUGGCUGAGGUGUGGGAACAUGUUCCCCUCUGCCGGCUUUUGUCACCAGGUGGUCACCUCCAGCAGAUGCCAGAGCACAGCUGGGUCAGUAACUACCCAGACUGCACCAGAGGCUAUCUGCCAGAUGUGAGGUCAUCUCCUGAAUUUGGGUCCUCAUCAGGUUAGAUCAUGGAGGAAAAAGUGGAAGCAAAGGGACUGUCAGUUAGAGGAUUCUUGUGUGUUUUUUUCUGCAGCUGAACCAAGAGCUGCCUCAACCGUGGGAAUAACGCAGUCUCUCUGCCAAGUUCAGCCUGGGCAGACCCCAGGAGCAGACUCCUCAGAGCACAGGCAAACGUACCUCACUGCAAUCUCUUUCAGCUUCCCAAUCUGGGCCCCUGCUGAAGGGAGCCACAGGUACCUCCAAAGUUAACUGAGGGGAAGAAAAAAAAGCAGUGGAAAUUUCCACUCCUGAACACACAAGUGCUGAGCUUGUGCCUGGCAGUGCUAGGGCAGGACGUGUGGGAAGCUGCAGCACUUGCUGGUGGACUCUUUCCCGUACUGCCACCCUCUUUCUUCCCAUUCUUCAUCCUGGUAGCUGAAGGCUUUCAGUCCUGCAGAAUACCAGACUUGUGCCAAUCUCUGGAGUCUCUAGGCAGCUUACAUGAGACAUGGUUUACGCUGCUGUUUGCAUCAUGAGUACAUUUAAGGUCUCCAAGCCAAGGUUGCUGCCCCUUCUUACAAAUUCUCUGCUCAGCUGUCCGUGUCCAACAGUUUCCAUUUAAUUGCUGAGAGUGGAGUGAAGCAUUUAGAUUUCUAAGCAGAAUGGUCUUCUGCACACUUCCAACUUCCUUUGCUGAAGAACAGAAGUGCGGGAGGCAGCGCUUUGUUUCAGUUCCGCACGAGGAUGCUGUCCAGUGCAGGCGUGUAACACGCUUAUAUUGUUGUGGCUUAACAAGAAUGUCAUCCUUGUGAAUUGGGCAAGCAAAAUCUGGGGUACUGCUAUCAAAGAGCAGUGUUUAGCAAGGCAACUUACUUAUUUGGGUGCAACUGUAGCUACAGAGCUGUUUUAACUGAGUCAUUCACUGCAAGCAGAGCUACACUGAGCUCACACUUCCUGGGAAGACUCUGGGAAGGGUCUGAACAGUUUCUGUUUUAUUGUUUGCUCUUUGCAAGUGUCCUCUGCUCUUCAGAAAUGUCCCAUCAAGUAUUUAAACCUGGAUUCCCCUACAGUUAAACUGGGGUCCCUGCUUUCUACAGUGACAUUCCUAUUUGUGCACUGGAAUAGAAAUGGCCUUUCCUGGCUUACUCGCUUGCUUUCUGCAUUCUCCAGCACUGUGCUCAGGAUAGGGGGCAAAGAAAAUUAGCAAAACGUGGUAGGGCUUGGCAAGCCACUUCAGAGGGUGACUUAAAGCUGUAGUGCACGCUGCAGAUGGCAGCAAGUCUCCCAAAAGGAAAAUGUUUAGCAGCUAUCUAUUGCCGCAGCUGUAAUUCCAAAACAGAAGAAGGACAGUUGUGUACGUUGGCCUCCUCAUUGAAGUUUGUUCUAACAUCUGCAAAAGUAUGUUGUGUGUCAACACCCUCACCAGAUUCCCAGCCAAAAGGAGGGUGGGAGGGGAGCUACAAACAGGGAACUUUUCAUUUAUAAAAGCCCUCCCUUUUACCAAAAGAGCCUUAUAAAAAGUGGCUGCUAUCUAGGUCUCCAUUUAGUCAUUGGCAUGAAAACCAGGGGAGCUGUAAACUUGCCAGGAUGCCAAAAGGAUGAAGUUUCCCUCUCAGUGCAGAAUUUGGGCAUAUCUUUCUCCUAGCAAGAAACAAAAGGUUUAGGAACAGAUCCCACACUCUUUGUUGAUUCAUGCAGUGGUGCAGAAACAUACAGCUAUUGUACACUUUGUCUAAGUAAUAAACUUGCAAAUAAUAAUAAUUCCUACUAUGCCUCCAUCUCUGCUCACACAGGCUAUUAUUUGCCUCCCUGGGAGUAGGUGUGCACACACAAGGUAGCCAGAAGCAUUCAGCAGGGGCAGUUGUAGUGGUUCAGUCUCCCUCUAGAAAAUCCACCAAGCCUGCCAAGGUUAGGCAUUUUCGAUCUAAAAUGGACAUGAUUUGUGAUUAAUGAAGUUACAAAACAAACGUUAAACCUCCAGCCAAACUGGAGAGACUCACUGCUUUGUAUCCAGUGCUGAGGAGGAGCUUACUAGCAGAGGGCUCAAAUUCCAGGCUACCAUAACCUUGGUGUGUUGUGCUUAAUAUCGCUUUUCUUCCUGACACAGACUGGGCCUAGUUGCAAAACAAGCAUCAUUCCCCUUGUCUCUCCACCCCAAGCCCGGUCCAAGUGAAUGUUUUGGGGCAGGAGGACCGUCCCCGUUUUUGUCAUUGUGAAUGAAGUUUAGCACAAAGAUGCUCUGAACUCAGCUGGAGUCUUGAGGCACCGUUACACAAAUAAACACUGAGUGAAUGAAGUGAAAGAAUAAGCAGCAAUGACAGCAAGGACUAAACAGUCUCCAUUUAUUCAAACAAAAUGGAGAUGAGGAAAUGCAUGUGAGUUGAUAUUUUUGGCUGUUCGUAUUCUUAUGGAAAUUAAUAUGUUUUUUGUCUCCUAACAACGUCUUGGAUCCGUGUGGAAAAAUUUAAUGAGAUCUUUUAAGCCAAUAAAAUCGCAUUGAAAUCAGAAUGUAAGUCAAAGUGAGUUAUUUAAGAGCAACAACAGAAACAUCCUAGCCCAUAGAGAUGCUGAUACAUUGUUAGCAGGAAGGAAGAAAAUCUUGCCUAGUAUGUGUAGUGAUGAUGAACAUAUACAGGCCUACAUAUAAGAAAAAGUGCUUCCUUGCAUACAGUCAUGCUCAGGUGGAUAUAGAACUCCUUUGCAAUAUCAGCCUGGUUAUUAGUUUCUGGAUACAACUAAGCGCUGCACAGGCACCUAAGGUUGUAGAGUUUCAUUAAAUCUGCAGAAUAAGUUUUCUUCUAAGAACUGUUUGGCUGCAAGAAACUUUGCAGUUACUUUGCAGUUCUUUGAGAUUCUCAAAUGAGCACGUCCACGUACAGGACCUGGCCCAGUACGUGGAUUGGGAUCACUGAUUUCACUGGAACUUCGGCAAAGCUACAGCACACACAGCUGGGGCAGGGACACUUCCUCACCCUGGGCACACUGGGGAACAGCAGGGUAUGGUCUCACACCACUGCUCAGGGAGCACUGGGAGAAAGAAUAUGAUAAAGCAGGAAAAGACCACGAGGAAAAUAUUCGUGUAAACUGAAUAAAAGGAAGAGCCUUUCCUCAGCACAAGAAUAAAGUCUGCAGGACAGUAGUGUUCGUCUUUGUACAUCUUAGGCCAUCCACAAACAUAGGCAAUUUCUCCUAGCUGCCAAACUACUGAAUUUCAGAGCCUUUUGUCUGCUGCCUGGGGGCUCAUUUUGAAGUUAGCAGAAUUGAGGGUGAAGAGAA